AUGCACCUGGAUGAAAAUAAUCGUUAUGAAUCUAUUCAUCUACAGAAGAAUCUCAAACUGAGGCAUUUUGGCUUUGGUCUUUGUAGAACGCAGUGCAAUCACAGGUCUGCUGUGGAACCCUUAUUUGGGGGCCGCUCCAGGAAAUAUUCCUUUUAUUCGGGCAUAAAGACAGGCUCCAACAGUUCAACUCAAGAUGAAAGACAUAUAUUGGAUACUGUUAGAAGGCUUAACAGAGUGCUUUGCACCCUUCGACGGUUGGCGCUUGCUUAUGAAGCUGGCUUUGGAAGAAGUUUAUUUGAAAGGUUGAGCUUCUUAGGUCAUCCGAAACACCUUUUAAAAAUGCAGUACAGAAUGCAUCCAUCAAUUAGUAGCUUCCCAAAUUCAAAUUUCUACUCUAAUAAGAUCAUCGAUGCACCAAAUGUUAAGACAAGAAGUUAUGAGAAAUGUUAUCUUCCAGGGCCAAUGUUUGGUCCCUAUUCAUUCAUAAAUGUAACUGGUGGAAGAGAAGAGGUGGAUGAUGUUGGACGUAGCCAAAGAAAUAUGGCUGAGGCAGCUGUUGUGUUGAAAUUAAUUCAUUGCCUGUACAAAGCAUGGAAUGGCUUAAAACAGAAUCUCAGCAUCGGCGUUAUAUCUCCCUAUGCUGCUCAGGUAGUUGCAAUUCAAGACAAACUUAGUUCCAAGUAUGAAAAAGUUGAUGGCUUUUCAGUGAAAGUCCAGUCAAUAGAUGGAUUCCAAGGUGGUGAGGAAGAUAUUGUAAUAAUAUCAACAGUGAGAUCAAAUAGUAGUGGUGGUAUUGGGUUUGUGUCUGAGUUGUUUAAUGUUUCUCUUACAAGGGCUAGGCAUUGCCUUUGGAUUUUAGGGAAUGAAAGAACACUUUUUAGAAGUAGAUCUAUCUGGGAAAUGCUAAUUCGUGAUGCAAAACAUCGUCAAUGUUUCUUUAAUGCUGAUGAAAAUAAAGAAUUGGCUAAAGCCAUUCUAGACGUCAAGAAAGAGUUUGAUCAACUUGAUGAUUUGCUUAAUGGAAAUAGCGUGCUUUUCAAAUGUGCCAGGUGGAAGGUUCUUUUCAGUGAAUACUUUAGAAGAUCAUUUGGAAAGCUGAGAGCAAAAAGGACAAAGACUUCUGUUUUGAACCUUCUGCUAAGACUUUCUAGUGGAUGGCGUCCUAAGAAAAGAAAUGUGGAUUUAACUUGUGAAAGCUCUUCUCAAAUCUUGAAACAGUUCAAGGUUGAAGAACUGUAUGUGAUCUGUUCAGUUGAUAUAGUGAAGGAAGUAAAAUACAUUCAAGUUCUGAAGGUCUGGGAUAUAUUACCUUUGGAAGAUAUUCCGAGUUUGGUUAAACGUCUCAGUGGGAUCUUUGAAAGACACACAGAUGAUUUCAUCAGUUGUUGCAAUGCGAAAUGUUUGGAAGGAGACUUGGAAGUUCCCAAAGUUUGGUCAACCUCAUUUGAUAUUGUCCGUUAUAAGAGUCCUAUCAACAAUGAAGCAGGGAAUGAUUCAAAUUUUGGUGCUUCUGAUUCUAGAUGCUAUGUGGAAAACUCCAAAGUGAGUGAUAGUUUGUUGCUAAUGAAAAAUUCUACUCCUUGUCAUCUGGAGUUGUGGACGGUCAGGGACUGGGAAAACAACUGUUUUAACAAUGAAGUUGUUUCAGAAAGAGCAACAGUUCCAUAUGAACGUCUUGCACCAGCUUUUUGUGACAGUCAGUUCUACACUUUGUUAUGCUGUAAAAAACAUCAUGUUUCACAGCUGAAAAGCUUUGGAUCGGGGGGAAAAUAUAUGGCAGAAAGCAAUUCUGUUGAUAUGGAAGAUAUUGAUGGUAUAGCACAGUUCAAGGACAUCCCUGAUUCUUUUAUUGAUAUUCCUUCCAAUUUAUAUCCUCUUACUAUAACUUUCCACAAAUUUUUGAUGAUGCUUGAUUUGAUGAUGCUUGAUGGAACAAUAGGCAAUUCAUAUUUUGAAAGAUUUCCUGAUGUGAGGCAGUUUUUACAUGGAAAAAUGGGAAGUCUGGAAUCCAUUGCCUUACAAACUUUCAUAACAACAAGGGAAGUUAACUAUGAUAAGUUCUGUUCAAUUUAUUGGCCUCGUUUCAAUACACAAAUGACAAAGAAGCUCGACUCAUCUAGAGUCUUUACUGAGAUAAUGUCUCACAUAAAAGGAGGUUUGCAAUCAAGUGAAUCUUGUGACGGUAGACUUGCGAGAAAAGAUUAUGUUACUCGUUCUGAGGGUCUGAGGGUCGUCUGUCGACUUUAAGUAGGGAGAAAGAGAAGAAAUGAUAUAUGACAUUUUAUGAAGAUUAUGGAAAAAGAUGAAGAUAGAAAAUGAGAUUUUGAUACAGCUGAUUUUGUGAUGUGAUCUUCUCUGAGGCUUAGCAAUGGAAAAUAUCAGGUGACAACAUAAUGGAUUUUGUCUAUAUUGAUGAAGUUCAAGAUCUUACAAUGAGACAGAUUGCUCUUUUCAAGCACAUUUGCAGAAACGUUACUGAGGGCUUCAUUUUUUCUGGUGACACAGCACAAACCAUUGCAAGGGGCAUUGAUUUUAGGUUUGAAGACAUAAGAUCUGUGUUCUACAAUGAAUUUGUUUUAGGAUCAAAAAGUGAAGGAUAUGACAGAAGAAAGGAGAAAGGCCAAGUAUCUAAAAUUUUUCAUUUGAGCCAGAACUUUCGUACCCAUGCUGGUAUUCUCCAAUUAGCUCAAAGUGUUAUUGACCUUCUUUAUCGUUUUUUCCCUUCAUUUGUUGAUAUUUUAAGCCAUGAAACUAGUCUUAUAUUUGGUGAAGCCCCAGUUUGGCUUGAAGCGACAAAUGAUGAAAAUGCAAUUGUGACUAUAUUUGGGAGCAGUGGGAAUGAAGGGACCAAUUUUGUUGGGUUUGGAGCAGAACAAGUCAUAUUAGUGCGUGAUGAUUCGGCAAAGAAAGAAGUGUAUGACUAUGUUGGGAAACAAGCCCUUGUCUUGACUAUAAUGGAGUGCAGGGGCCUAGAGUUUCAGGAUGUACUGUUGUACAACUUUUUCGGCUCAUCACCUCUAAGAAAUAAAUGGAGAGUUGUCUAUGAGUACAUGAAGGAGCAAAAUUUACUUGAUGAGUCCUCUCCUGUUUUCAAUAUGGCAAAACACAAUGUCUUAUGCUCUGAGUUGAAGCAGUUAUAUGUUGCAAUCACUCGUACAAGACAAAGACUAUGGAUUUGUGAGAAUUUAGAAGAGUUGUCCAAACCAAUGUUUGAUUACUGGAAGAAAAGACUACUGAGAAUCUUGUUGACGAAUUUAGAAGCAGGUAUUGCACCAGAAACCAGAUGGUCAAAUUUAUUUGCAUGUGGGGAAUCUGCUAUUGAAAGAGCUGGAGAAUGUUCAGUCUUGAGCUGGAUGUUUAUAAGCUUGCAGGCAGGAAGAGAGAUCUUUGACAUGGGCUUGCAAUAUAUUCAAUGCUGGAAACAAGUGACUGCGGAUCAAUAUAUGGUUAAAAGAAGCAAAGAAAUGGCCAAAAUUGAACAAGAGUUUCUGGAGAAAUGUGCUCUCCAUUAUCAUAAGCUGAAUGAUAAUAGAGCCAUGAUGAGAUAUGUUAGAACCUUUGAUUCUAUGGACUCAAUUCGAACUUUCUUGAAUGCUUUAGAGUGCCUUGAUGAGCUUCUGUCACUGGAAGAAGAAUCAGGCAACUUUAUGGAGGCAGCAAAGAUUGCAAAGUUGAAAGGUGAACUUCUACUUGAGGCUGAUCUACUUGGAAGGGCUGGAGAUCUUAAGCGUGCAGCUAUGCUUAUUAUAUGUUACGUGUUUGCGAAUUCUCUGUGGUCAUCUGGGAGCAAAGGCUGGCCUUUAAAGCGUUUUCCACAAAAGGAAGAGCUCUUGGCAAAGGCAAAGUCAUUUGCAGAGACCGAGUCAAGCCAAUUUUAUGAGCUUGUAUGUCUGGAAUCUGAAAUUUUGUUGCAUGAUCUAGGUAACUUGUCCAUGAUGAAACAACAUCUGAAUGCUUCUCAGAGACUUAAGAGUAUCAGAGGUGAAAUUUUAUCAGCUCGAAAGAUUCUUGAUGCCCAUUUUCAAGUAAACAGCUCAAAGUACGUGUGGGAAAAUGAAUUUGUUCUUGAUCUAGAAAACUUGUUGGAAGAGAGACUAUCAGAAGAUGAGGUUUCCAUUGAAACUCUGAUGUACUCCUGGAUAUUUUGGAAGGCUAAGAUUGUUCAUGUAUUUGAGUAUCUCGAAUGCCUUGAAACUCACGAUCUGAGUGAAUAUGCAAGUUAUGGAGAAUUCUGCUUGAAUUAUUUGGGUGUGCAAAGACAUUUCAAUAAUCUAAAUGCCAUAUAUGUCCUUAUAAACUCUGAUGCAGAAUGGUUGAGAUAA